ACUGCAGAGGGCUGAGGCACCAUGCAUGGGGGCCAGGGGCCACUGCUCCUCCUGCUGCUGCUGGCUGUCUGCCUGGGGGCCCAGGGCCGGAACCAGGAGGAGCGCCUGCUCGCAGACCUGAUGCAAAACUACGACCCCAACCUGCGGCCCGCGGAACGAGACUCGGAUGUGGUCAAUGUCAGCCUGAAGCUAACCCUCACCAACCUCAUCUCCCUGAACGAGCGAGAGGAAGCCCUCACCACCAAUGUCUGGAUAGAGAUGCAGUGGUGCGACUAUCGCCUGCGCUGGGAUCCGCGAGACUACGAAGGCCUGUGGGUGCUGAGGGUGCCGUCCACCAUGGUGUGGCGGCCGGAUAUCGUGCUGGAGAACAACGUGGACGGUGUCUUCGAGGUGGCCCUCUACUGCAAUGUGCUCGUGUCCCCUGACGGCUGUAUCUACUGGCUGCCGCCUGCAAUCUUCCGUUCCGCCUGCUCUAUCUCAGUCACCUACUUCCCCUUCGACUGGCAGAACUGCUCCCUUAUCUUCCAGUGAGGCCAUUUAUUGGGGAGGAUUAAGAGAGCUGCUCUCAGAGGGGCCUGGGCAGUGGUGGGGUAAGGCCUGGGCAAGGCUUCUGGCCUUGGCUCUGGCAGCACCUAGAGGCCUGGCUCCAUCUCCCCUGGGCCUCUGUGCCCAUCUCAGGCUAAGACACCUGAAGGUGCCCAAGCUCUCCCUGCUAAGCCCGAGUCCCCUCACUCAUCCUUUACUGCCUCAGUUUCCUCGCCUGUGCCCCAAGGGGAGACAUUCACGCCUGGGGUGCGUGGGUGAGAAGGCACACAUGCACACAAGAUGCGUGUCUGCGCACACACGAAACCACUGCACACUCCAGGCCCACAGGGAGGCA
rnacentral:sRNA from 1 species